CAACUCAGAUCCAGCAGCAAGUUAUUCAGAAUUAUGGAUUCACAGCUGAUGGAGAAGGUGCUAUAAAAUUCACACAAGAAGUAAGACGAUUCGAACAUCAAGACCCAGAGAUUGCAAGUUUAGCCCAACGCUUAAAAGCCAUAUCCUUACCACCUCUACCAGUGAAUCAACCAGCAAGUUAGCUUUAAAUACAAGGCAUUCUAUUAUUUAUUUGAUAAUUAAAGUUGAAUGCUGUCAAUA